AUGCGCACUGGGAGCUGCUCAGCCUCGCUGAGGGAGGUGGCUCGGAACGUUUCUUCAGCGUCUUCCUGCGCGCUCCCAGCGCGUGGAAUUUUGCAACUGUUCAGAAAAUCCGAGGGUCUUUGCCCCACUACGCUUGCGCACUGCCGCGUGAAACUUUAUGUAGCUCCGGAGGGAGCCCGGCCUGUCGUGCUGCUGCUGCUGCUGCUGCUGCUGCGGGGUUUCUUCUGUCCUAGCCGCGGGCUCCCCUGACUCCUUGAGCGGCGCGCCCCUGCGUAACCAGCCCCUCCGCAGUGUUGAGCAAGGGCAGGCCUUAGCAGCAGCCUCAGCAUGGAUGGUCCGUGCGCCCUACUCACGAGAGCCUUUCUGCAGCAUCUCUAUUAAGCGCUCUGCUUAACAGCCCCAUUGUAGCCCGUGCUGCCAGGCUGGGCUGUCGGCGUUAUAUUGCACUUCCCACACGCAAGGACUUUUUCAGUCCGAUCUGUUUAGUCACCUUCUGUGAGUAAAGGAAGCUGCAGAUGGAGGACACCGGCAACGGAUGGUCCGUCUCAGGAUCUCUGGAACAUCGGAGGAUCUGGCUCUCUACUGCCAAAGCAGGAGAUCAACAGAUCUGGGCUGAUAGCAAAGUCUUCACUGCAUCCUUUGGAGUCAGGUGAUGAUCUUCCAGUCUAUGUCACCACGCAAACACAAUGGUACCGUGGCUGCCUCUAGGACGGACAGCAACUAGGCCGCGGGUGCUCAGAGUUUAUAUAGGCACAAGCACGCGAAGGUCCUGAGGUAAAACUGGCAGCUCUCCUGCUGGAACCUGUUUGAACCUGUUCUUGUGCUGACUGUUAACUGCUUUUCCUGCCAAAGUUUCAAAAGGGGGUGAAAACUUCAACAAGAAGCUAAACAAAGAUGGAGUCGAACUGUUGUUUGGCAGGCACACCAUUUUGAAUUUCAGACUCCAUAUCGAAUACAUGGUCAAACACCUUAACCAAAUGUAAAGGCAUAAAGAAUAACUUAUUUUA